AUGACAACCAAUACAGCACAGAGAAUAGCCUGGUGUUUCUACAGCAGGGUUUUCUACUCAAUGUAUUUCUACUGCAGGGUUUUGUACUCAAUGUAUUUCUACAGGAGGGUUUUCUACUCAAUGUAUUUCUACAGGAGGGUUUUCUACUCAAUGUAUUUCUACAGCAGGGGUUUCUACUCAAUGUAUUUCUACAGCAGGGUUUUCUACUCAAUGUAUUUCUACAGCAGGGUUUUCUACUCAAUGUAUUUCUACAGCAGGGUUUUCAACUCAAUGUAUUUCUACAGCAGGGUUUUCUACUCAAUGUAUUUCUACUGCAGGGGUUUCUACUCAAUGUAUUUCUACUCAAUGUAUUUCUACAGCAGGGUUUUCUACUCAAUGUAUUUCUACUGCAGGGGUUUCUACUCAAUGUAUUUCUACUCAAUGUAUUUCUACAGGAGGGUUUUCUACUCAAUGUAUUUCUACAGCAGGGUUUUCUACUCAAUGUAUUUAUACUGCAGGGUUUUCUACUCAAUGUAUUUCUACAGCAGGGUUUUCUACUCAAUGUAUUUCUACUGCAGGGGUUUCUACUCAAUGUAUUUCUACUCAAUGUAUUUCUACAGCAGGGUUUUCUACUCAAUGUAUUUCUACUGCAGGGGUUUCUACUCAAUGUAUUUCUACUCAAUGUAUUUCUACAGGAGGGUUUUCUACUCAAUGUAUUUCUACUGCAGGGUUUUCUACUCAAUGUAUUUCUACAGCAGGGUUUUCUACUCAAUGUAUUUCUACAGCAGGGUUUUCUACUCAAUGUGUUUCUACAGCAGGGUUUUCUACUCAAUGUAUUUCUACAGCAGGGUUUUGUACUUAAUGUAUUUCUACAGCAGGGUUUUGUACUCAAUGUAUUUCUACAGCAGGGUUUUCUACUCAAUGUAUUUCUACUGCAGGGUUUUCUACUCAAUGUAUUUCUACAGCAGGGUUUUCUACUCAAUGUAUUUCUACAGCAGGGUUUUCUACUCAAUGUAUUUCUACAGCAGGGUUUUCUACUCAUUGUAUUUCUACAGCAGGGUUUUCUACUCAAUGUAUUUCUACAGCAGGGUUUUCUACUCAAUGUGUUUCUACAGCAGGGUUUUCUACUCAAUGUGUUUCUACAGCAGGGUUUUCUACUCAAUGUAUUUCUACUGCAGGGGUUUCUACUCAAUGUAUUUCUACUCAAUGUAUUUCUACAGCAGGGUUUUCUACUCAAUGUAUUUCUACUGCAGGGGUUUCUACUCAAUGUAUUUCUACUCAAUGUAUUUCUACAGGAGGGUUUUCUACUCAAUGUAUUUCUACAGCAGGGUUUUCUACUCAAUGUAUUUCUACUGCAGGGGUUUCUACUCAAUGUAUUUCUACUCAAUGUAUUUCUACAGGAGGGUUUUCUACUCAAUGUAUUUCUACAGCAGGGUUUUCUACUCAAUGUAUUUCUACAGCAGGGUUUUCUACUCAAUGUAUUUCUACUGCAGGGGUUUCUACUCAAUGUAUUUCUACUGCAGGGGUUUCUACUCAAUGUAUUUCUACUCAAUGUAUUUCUACAGGAGGGUUUUCUACUCAAUGUAUUUCUACUGCAGGGUUUUCUACUCAAUGUAUUUCUACAGCAGGGUUUUCUACUCAAUGUAUUUCUACAGCAGGGUUUUCUACUCAAUGUAUUUCUACAGCAGGGUUUUCUACUCAAUGUAUUUCUACAGCAGGGAUUUCUACUCAAUGUAUUUCUACUGCAGGGUUUUCUACUCAAUGUAUUUCUACAGCAGGGUUUUGUACUCAAUGUAUUUCUACAGCAGGGUUUUCUACUCAAUGUAUUUCUACAGCAGGGUUUUCUACUCAAUGUAUUUCUACAGCAGGGUUUUCUACUCAAUGUAUUUCUACAGCAGGGUUUUCUACUCAAUGUGUUUCUACAGCAGGGUUUUCUACUCAAUGUGUUUCUACAGCAGGGUUUUCUACUCAAUGUAUUUCUACAGCAGGGUUUUGUACUUAAUGUAUUUCUACAGCAGGGUUUUGUACUCAAUGUAUUUCUACAGCAGGGUUUUCUACUCAAUGUAUUUCUACAGGAGGGUUUUCUACUCAAUGUAUUUCUACUGCAGGGUUUUCUACUCAAUGUAUUUCUACAGCAGGGUUUUCUACUCAAUGUAUUUCUACAGCAGGGUUUUCUACUCAAUGUAUUUCUACUCAAUGUAUUUCUACAGGAGGGUUUUCUACUCAAUGUAUUUCUACUUAAUGUAUUUCUACAGCAGGGUUUUCUACUCAAUGUAUUUCUACAGGAGGGUUUUCUACUCAAUGUAUUUCUACAGCAGGGUUUUCUACUCAAUGUAUUUCUACAGCAGGGUUUUCUACUCAAUGUAUUUCUACAGCAGGGUUUUCUACUCAAUGUAUUUCUACAGCAGGGUUUUCUACUCAAUGUAUUUCUACAGGAGGGUUUUCUACUCAAUGUAUUUAUACUGCAGGGGUUUCUACUAA
ensembl:lncRNA